GUAAAGGCCUACCAAGGCGACGAUCCGUAGCUGGUUUGAGAGGACGACCAGCCACACUGGGACUGAGACACGGCCCAGACUCCUACGGGAGGCAGCAGUGGGGAAUUUUGGACAAUGGGGGCAACCCUGAUCCAGCCAUCCCGCGUGUGCGAUGAAGGCCUUCGGGUUGUAAAGCACUUUUGGCAGGAAAGAAACGGCUCUGGAUAAUACCUGGGGCAACUGACGGUACCUGCAGAAUAAGCACCGGCUAACUACGUGCCAGCAGCCGCGGUAAUACGUAGGGUGCAAGCGUUAAUCGGAAUUACUGGGCGUAAAGCGUGCGCAGGCGGUUCGGAAAGAAAGGUGUGAAAUCCCAGGGCUUAACCUUGGAACUGCACUUUUAACUACCGGGCUAGAGUGUGUCAGAGGGAGGUGGAAUUCCGCGUGUAGCAGUGAAAUGCGUAGAGAUGCGGAGGAACACCGAUGGCGAAGGCAGCCUCCUGGGACAACACUGACGCUCAUGCACGAAAGCGCGGGGAGCAAACAGGAUUAGAUACCCUGGUAGUCCACGCCCUAAACGAUGUCAACUAGCUGUUGGGGGCUUCGGCUCUUGGUAGCGCAGCUAACGCGUGAAGUGACCGC
rnacentral:rRNA from 1 species